rnacentral:rRNA from 1 species
UACGACGGGGGCUAGCGUUGCUCGGAAUUACUGGGCGUAAAGGGCGCGUAGGCGGCACUGUUAGUCAGGCGUGAAAGUCCUGGGCUCAACCUGGGAACUGCGCUUGAUACGGCAGAGCUAGAGGAUGGAAGAGGCUCGCGGAAUUCCCAGUGUAGAGGUGAAAUUCGUAGAUAUUGGGAAGAACACCGGUGGCGAAGGCGGCGAGCUGGUCCAUUACUGACGCUGAGGCGCGACAGCGUGGGGAGCAAACAGG